rnacentral:rRNA from 1 species
UGGGGAAUAUUGGACAAUGGGCGAAAGCCUGAUCCAGCCAUGCCGCGUGUGUGAAGAAGGUCUUCGGAUUGUAAAGCACUUUAAGUUGGGAGGAAGGGCAGUAAGCGAAUACCUUGCUGGUUUGACGUUACCGACAGAAUAAGCACCGGCUAACUCUGUGCCAGCAGCCGCGGUAAUACAGAGGGUGCAAGCGUUAAUCGGAAUUACUGGGCGUAAAGCGCGCGUAGGUGGUUCGUUAAGUUGAAUGUGAAAGCCCCGGGCUCAACCUGUGAACUGCAUCCAAAACUGGCGAGCUAGAGUAGGGCAGAGGGUGGUUGAAUUUCCUGUGUAGCGGUGAAAUGCGUAGAUAUAGGAAGGAACACCAGUGGCGAAGGCGACCACCUGGGCUCAUACUGACACUGAGGUGCGAAAGCGUGUGGAGCACCCAGU